GAUUGGUCUGACCCAACCUCACUGAUUUCCGUAACCUUUAUCUCCAUCUCACAGCACCUCAGCUCAUUCGGCGUUACCAGAGAAAAAGCACAGGGAGUGAAAGGCUGAAUGAAAGCAGUCUCUCUCUCUCUCUCUCUCUCUCUCAUAUUCUGUGUGUGGAAGUGUGAAGCAAACUUAUUUUAAGGAUGCCUAGAAGGGGGUGCUUAAGCAGUAAAGGCAGUUGCUUGGAGAAAUGUGGUGCGUUUUUUUUUGGUGAGGAGGACUUAACUGUGACUGCAACUUUUAUAUAUAUCUCUUGGCUCUUGCUUCAUUCUUCAAUGCUUCCUGGGUUUUGGGGACUCCUACCGCCGAAAUAGAGUAAAGAUGAUAGUAGUGAAGAGAGAGUGUGUGAUCAAGGCGCGUGGGCGGCGGGUGAGAGGUCCUCUCAAACUCAAAUCGUGAGGGUCUGUUGGAUAAUGACCCAACACAAAUGUGUGGGUCAACGCUUCUUUUGGUUCAUCCACAGAGCUGUUAUCACAUCUUGCAUAGGAGAAAAGGCUAGAGAAAGAAAGAAGGGAUUAGCUAGCAAGCCCAAAACUUUUUGGUGUUCUCCGACCAGAUCAACAAUUUUGACCUCUCCGUUAUACAUUUAUCUAUCUACUUCCGUGUUGUGCCGCUCAUCUCCUCCUUGGCCACUGUUGUUUGCUGGUUGUGUUUUUGCUUUGAAUAAGAGUUUUCUUUUCUUUAGAUCUGCUAUCAUGGGCGAUCUAUAAGAUGGAAGUUAAUCAGGUGUAAGAGAUUGUCUCUCACAGUCAGUUUAAAUAAAUUUUUAAGAUAUUUGGCUACUCUUGUCUUAGAUCUAGUCUGCUCGAAACAGAUAUAUUUUUUAACUAUUUUUGUACAUGGGUUAGCGGAAAAUGAAAGUCAUAGAUAGCACUUUAUUUUAAGAAUUUUAUUUGUAUCUAUGACUA